CCUCAAGAGACACACACACACGUAAAGCACCAGCAGCUGGAUCUGGCGGCAGCACUGGGGAGCUGUGUCCCGCUGAGAGGAUGAGAACAUGGGGGUCAAGUUGUCCUGCCUGAAAGGCUUGAAGACGUGCGUGAACGGCGGCAGCGGCGGCGACAGGAGCCCGGCGGCGACCCCGGACCAGAAGCGUCUCCACGUGCCGUCCAUCAUCGUCACGCCGCCCACCCCCACGGGCUCCGCGCUGUCCCGCGAGGCCCGGGGCGGGGGGAUUUCAGCCCCCUGCAGCCGGUGCUGAGCACCGCCAGGGUCCGUCCCCACUGCGCCCGGCCGGAGAUGCGGCCGUCGGGGCGGCGUCCCGGGGACACGCGGGGGGACCCGCGCACGGGCGGCUGCGGGCACCACCGCCUGCCGCUGCUCUCCGUUCCUAAAGCCUCCGGGGGCUCGUGCCCUCGUGAAUAAACCCCCGGGGCUCCGGUUUGUCCUCGGGGCUGUGCCGCUGGAGCAGCGCGUUGGCUGUGUCUCCUCCCCGGACACCCCGUCCCCAGCGGCAUCACCCCCCGGAGCUGACGAGCGGCCGCUUUUGGGGGGAUCAGCGGGGGAAACGAACUGGGCUGAGCCGCAAAACGGGCUCGAGCAGUCCCGGGGCGGGGGCCGGGGGUCGGGACGAUGCUCCCCGCGGCGCGGCGGCCCCGGGAGAGGCGGCAGCGGGAAAGCAGAUGGAAACGGAACGUUUUAAUGACAGCAGCA